CCUACGGGAGGCAGCAGUGAGGAAUAUUGGUCAAUGGACGCAAGUCUGAACCAGCCAUGCCGCGUGCAGGAAGACGGCUCUAUGAGUUGUAAACUGCUUUUGUACGAGGGUAAACGCAGAUACGCGUAUCUGUCUGAAAGUAUCGUACGCAUAAGGAUCGGCUAACUCCGUGCCCGCAGCCGCGGGAAUACGGAGGAUUCAAGCGUUAUCCGGAUGUAUUGGGUUUAAAGGGUGCGUAGGCGGUCGGAUAAGUUAGAGGUGAAAUCCCGAGGCUCAACUUCGGAAUUGCCUCUGAUACUGUUCGGCUAGAGAGUAGUUGCGGUAGGCGGAAGGUAUGGUGUAGCGGUGAGAUGCUUAGAGAUCAUACAGAACACCGAUUGCGAAGGCAGCUUACCAAGCUACUUCUGACGUUGAGGCACGAAAGCGUGGGGAGCAAACAGGAUUAGAUACCCCAGUAGUC
rnacentral:rRNA from 1 species